rnacentral:rRNA from 1 species
ACAGCAGUCGCCGCGGUAAUACGAAGGGUGCAAGCGUUAAUCGGAAUUACUGGGCGUAAAGCGUGCGUAGGCGGUGAGUUAAGUCUGCUGUGAAAUCCCCGGGCUCAACCUGGGAAUGGCAGUGGAUACUGGCUCGCUAGAGUGUGUCAGAGGAUGGUGGAAUUCCCGGUGUAGCGGUGAAAUGCGUAGAGAUCGGGAGGAACAUCAGUGGCGAAGGCGGCCAUCUGGGACAACACUGAUGCUGAGGCACGAAAGCGUGGGGAGCAAACAGGAUUAGAUACCCGGGUAGUCCCUGUCUCUUAUAA